rnacentral:rRNA from 1 species
AUUGAACGCUGGCGGAAUGCUUUACACAUGCAAGUCGAGCGGCAGCGCGGCCUUCGGGCUGGCGGCGAGCGGCGAACGGGUGAGUAAUGCAUCGGAACAUGCCCAGUCGUGGGGGAUAACACUUCGAAAGAAGUGCUAAUACCGCAUACGUCCUGAGGGUGAAAGCGGGGGAUCGCAAGACCUCGCGCGAUUGGAGUGGCCGAUGUCAGAUUAGCUAGUUGGUGGGGUAAAGGCCUACCAAGGCGACGAUCUGUAGCUGGUCUGAGAGGAUGAUCAGCCACACUGGGACUGAGACACGGCCCAGACUCCUACGGGAGGCAGCAGUGGGGAAUUUUGGACAAUGGGGGCAACCCUGAUCCAGCCAUUCCGCGUGAGUGAAGAAGGCCUUCGGGUUGUAAAGCUCUUUCGGCAGGAACGAAACGGUGGGCUCUAACAUAGUCCGCUAAUGACGGUACCUGAAGAAGAAGCACCGGCUAACUACGUG